AGCGAACGCUGGCGGCAGGCCUAACACAUGCAAGUCGAACGAACCUUUCGGGGUUAGUGGCGGACGGGUGAGUACCACGUGGGAACGUGCCUUUAGGUUCGGAAUAACUCAGGGAAACUUGUGCUAAUACCGCAUGUGCCCUUCGGGGGAAAGAUUUAUCGCCUUUAGAGCGGCCCGCGUCUGAUUCGCUAGUUGGUUGAGGUAAUGGCUCACCAAGGCGACGAUCAGUAGCUGGUCUGAGAGGAUGAUCAGCCACAUUGGGACUAAGACACGGCCCACACUCCUACGGGAGGCAGCAGUGGGGAAUCCUGCGGAAUGGGCGAAAGCCUGACGCAGCCAUGCCGCGUGAAUGAUGAAGGUCUUAGGAUUGUAAAAUUCUUUCACCGGGGACGAUAAUGACGGUACCCGGAGAAGAAGCCCCGGCUAACUUCGUG
rnacentral:rRNA from 1 species